GACGAACGCUGGCGGCGUGCCUAAUACAUGCAAGUAGGACGCAGUUGCGAACGGGAGAGUAACGCGUAGGUAACUACCUAUUAGAGGGGGAUAACUAUGGGAAACGAUAGCUAAUACCGCAUACUAGUAGAUGGAACUGCGUUGUAUUAGCUAGUAGGUAGGGUAAUGGCCUACCUAGGCAACGAUACAUAGCCGACCUGGGAGGGUGAUCGGCCAAACCGGGACUGAGACACGGGCCAGAAUCCUACGGGAGGGAGCCAUAGGGAAACUUUGGCAAUGGGGCGAAACCUGACCGAGCAACGCCGCGUGAGUGAAGAAGGUUUUCGGAUCGUAAAGCUCUUUUGUUAAGGAAGCGGUACUUAACCAGAAAGGGACGGCUAACUACGUGCCAGCAGCCGCGGUAAUUC
rnacentral:rRNA from 1 species